AAAACUUAUCAAUUUGAACGUUGAAUUUUAUCGAACCACGAAGGCUUUUAAAAUUCCAACUGAAAUCCGCGGCUCUAAGAGUUAGUAUGGUUUCAACAUACUCCUCAAGUAAACAUUCGUCAGGCAGUUACAGUUUUCAAACAAAGUGACUAAAAAUGCAGUAAAUGUAUAUAUAAACUACUAAAAUGUAAUACGAAUUCAUAUCUUUGCUCUCAAAUAAAGCAAAUUUAAAUUUAUUGGAGUUAACGAAGAGAUUAACUUACAAAUUGCUAUAGGAAAUUGACUAAGAAUAUACUUGAAAAAUAUGCUGUAGUUUGUCUAAAAAAA